rnacentral:rRNA from 1 species
CGGGGUGCACCAGGCGCGAAAACUCUACAAUGCAGGCAACUGCGAUAGGGGGACAUCGAGUGGCAUCCACCUUGGGUGCCUGUCCAACCGUCUAAAAAACGGUUGUUAGCAAGGGCCGGGUAAGACCGGUGCCAGCCGCCGCGGUAAUACCGGCGGCUCGAGUGGUGGCCGAUAUUAUUGAGUCUAAAGGGUCCGUAGCCGGCUUUGCAAGUCCCCUGGGAAAUCCAGCGGCUUAACCGUUGGGCUUUCAUGGGAUACUACAUUGCUUGGGACUGGGAGAGGUAGGAGGUACUCGGGGGGUAGGGGUGAAAUCCUGUAAUCCUCCGGGGACCACCGGUGGCGAAGGCGUCCUACCAGAACAGGUCCGACGGUGAGGGACGAAAGCUAGGGGCACGAACCGGAUUAGAUACCCGGGUAGUCCUAGCCGUAAACGAUGCCCGCUAGGUGUCACGACGGUCGUGAAUCGUCGUGGUGCCGUAGGGAAGCCGCGAAGCGGGCCACUUGGGAAGUACGGCCGCAAGGCUGAAACUUAAAGGAAUUGGCGGGGGAGCACAAGGGCGAUUCGCG